AAUACCAUCUAUCUAUGUUUCUAACUCAAAAUGGGUUCUCUCUCCUCCUCAUUCUCCUUUUUCUUUUUUAUUCAUUUUGAUCAACCUCCUUAAUCUUUUCCCCUUAUUGUUAGAUCUCAUAUUUUAUUUUAUUUUGACAAUAGAUCUCAUAUCUUAAGAGCUAGAUUGCAAUUUUGAUUUUGAUAAAAAGGAAUAUAUCUUAACCCACACAACUCAUCAUAUUCUAUAUUUCUAUAGAUUUUGAAUCCCAUACUUUAGUUUUCAUCGAUCUAUACAUAGAUUUUGAAAGUAAAAAAAUAAGAGGUCUUAUACUCUUAUUGUUUUUUUGGACAAGUUUCUUACAAAAAAAAAAUGAAAAGAAGGGUUUUGCCUUUAAUUUAGUUUUCGAGGAAAAGAGUUUCACCUGAAUAGAUUCUCUCCUUGUCCCCUCUUUUUAGUUUCUCUUUGGACAAAUUCAGUGAGAAAUUGUCCUAUUUUCAUUGUAGCUUUUUAUUUUAUAUAUAUUAUUUAUUUUGUGUCAUAAUAUACACUUUUUUGAAUGAGAUUGGCAGCAAAGGAACCAUAGUUGCAUGGACAGAUAGUCAGUCGUCAUUUGCAGAUGUAGCAUCAUCAAGAUUCACAUGAAAGUGCAAGUGGAUUUGAACUCUUAUCGAUGUAAAUCUAAGUUCUCCAUAGGUCUCUUGAGAAUCUUGAUGAUGCUGCAUCAGCCAUAAACGACUUUUUAAUUAUUUGCAUCAGAUUCAGAUAUUAUGGAUUACUUAUGUUAAAGAUCUGACCAAUGUUCAAUCAGGAGCUCACUAAUUCCAUUCCAUUUUGCUUUUUGUGUUGCUGUCAGGUCACAAUCUCAACCAUAAGGAUGUGGAAGAGCCUGAACUUAGGCUUAAAGGUGGUGAUGUCGAUUGUCGACCAUCUUCGAAGUUUUGACUGCUUUUUUGGUGCCUAUAUUCAAAGAUUUCCAUGAUGAUCAAGAAGGCUUUGGCUUUAGUCCUAAAAUUACCGUGGUUGGUGGACCAUUCUCUUGCAAGUUGGAGCUAGCCUCAGGUACACUCUAGAUCUAUCUCUAUGGCAGUCAUAUUCCACUCCAUAUAUUUUUUUUAUAAUGUUUAUUUUCUUUUAUAUAAUGAAAAUAAAAGCAUUGAUCAUAUUUUACUUACAUGAUUCACGAUAGUGAUGAUUCAAAAUUGAAAAUCAAAUCACAUGGAAAUCUGUGUGCCCCCAUCACUGUCCUAAUUGGGUCUCUCAUUGAGAGGUUUGUGUACAAUCUCUGCUAAAAAAUUAAACCCAUUUCCCUCCCCACAGCCCCCCACCCCCCGACCUAAAAAUAAUCUUUGCCCUAUUUUUUCGUACCUUGUAAAUAAGACUAAUCAUAUCUUGCAUGCAGUAUAGGCCCACUUAUAUUCGUAGUCUCUCACCAUUGGUAAAAACACUUUUUAUCAACUUUAAUGUAACAUUCACAUUUACAACAUUAAAUUGCGGUUACGGUUACAGAUGAGGAAGUGGUUGCAAUUGCAGUUAUUUGAAUUGUUGCGACAUUCCGACCAUUGAAGCGUAAAAUGAUUUUUUAUUUUGACUAAAUAUAUCAAAUAACACUACUAUGCUACUACACAAUUUACCUACUAUAGCAUAGUCUAGGUUUAUUUUGUAAAAACUUAUUCAAAGUUGUUUGAAAUACAUAAUUAAGAGAUCGUCAAGAGUAAAGAUUUUUCAUUGGUUUUGGCACAAAUUGAGAUUUGAGGUUCAUAAAUUUCAAUUUUAAGUGAAAAAAUUUGAAUGAAAAUGGUUGAGAUUGCCUGAUGUCAUUACAAUGCGGUUGUACACGCGAUUGAAAAUUUCACCGUAAUGACAAGGUGGUGUGGUUGUAGAAGCUACUGCAUCGGUAAUAUUACGGCUACAUUUACAGAAGCGGGGCGUAUAAAUGUUGUGUUGUUUGCAACUUUUUCGAUUCGCCUUGCAUUCAGGUAUAAUAUUUUAACCAAUUCAAAGAAAAAGAAAAAAACGAAUAAUUAAUACUGAUUUAUGGAUGUAAUGUAGUAUUAUUAUUUGUACUUAUUUUCACUAUGAAUAUAAUUAGUCUUUGUUGUUUACAAAAAAAGAUAUACUAGCAUUCAAUAUGUUAUCAAUAUAUUAACUUUUAUUUUAUAAAUUUGUUAAUUAGAAGUGUUUUAAAAUCACUGAGAUGUUAUAAUUAUUUUUAUUUACAAAAUAAGAAUUUAAUCCUUGCAUAUAUUUCCAUUGGAAAUGGUCACUAAUGGAGAAAUUGAUUAUUUGUUUGAAAGGUAAUAUGUGAUUUCUUCAAACUCAUGUAGUCAAGAAGCUGCCACAACUAUAUAGUCACACACAUAUAUUUUGGAAGUACAGAUUAUUGGAUGUAGGUGAUAUAUAUAGUUGGACAGCUUCAUCUUUUGAAUUAGUAUUUCUGAGAUGUGAUCAAUCUCAUUUAACAUUUACAACACUCUCUAUGUCCCUAAUUAGUAAUUAUAAAACUUUUUUCAAAUUGAUUAUCUGUUGAUGAUGUGUGUAGGGUGAUCCGGUUGGAGUUUUAAGUAGAGCCGUUAAAAUGGGUCGGGUUAUCGGGGAGACCUAUUAGCCAUAUAUAUUUACACGGCCGGGCUUCACAAAUAGCGGGGCGGGCCUUAUCGGGUCAGGCCUUAUCGGACCAGGCUUUUUCAUGGGCCGGUCCACGGGCUUUUGGGCCGGCCCCUUAAAGAAUUUAAAAAAAAUGUUAAAAAAAAAAAUAAAUUGAAAUUUUGAUUUUGAAACAAAAAAAUAUUUUGACCCCUUAAGUUUGUUAUUAGUAGGAUAAUUAUCUUUUAAAUUUAAAAUAAGUUAGUUAUUAUCUUUUUUACAUUUGUUUUUCUAUUGUAAGCUUAUUUAAAGGCAAACAUAUUUAGAAUCAAUUCAAGUUAUAGUUUAUCAUAAAAUUUUGACUAAACCCAAACGAAUCCUCCAUUGUUAUUUUGAACAAGACGAAUCCUCCAUUGUUAAAUCAUAAAUCUCAAUUGAAGGAUUGUAAGCUUGAAAUUUAUUAGAUUUGAAGGUGCACUUUGUGAAUUUAUUAUCUCUUGAUUUUUGCUUGGAUAUUUUGCAUUAUUUAUUAUCUUGUGAAAUCAUGAUACCCAUUUUGUUUUAUGGAUACUAAUUUGUGUGUCAUUCAUCUAUCGGGCCAUGUAGGCUUUUGCUUAUCGGCCGGGCCAUAAAGUUAACGGGUCGGGCUAGGCCAAGCCCUUUAAAUGUUUGGGCCCCCGGGCCGGGCCAGACCAAGCCGACCCCUUUGACAGCUCUAAUUUUAAGUAAUCUGUUUGCCUUGUGUAAUUUUUCGUUGAUAUAUCUUGUCUUUAGAUUUGACAUGUUAACCAAGGAAUCGGGAUCAAGUAAUUAAUGAGUUCUUCUCAAGAAGAAUUAUUUAAGAGAAUUUGAGUUCAGUUUCUGUAGGAAUAAUUUUUUGUUAGACUUUAGUACCUCGUAUCCUUUAAUAGUUGAUAAUAUUCUCUCGGGUUCUAAAUACAAGAGAAGAUUAUACAAAAUUUUUCAAUGUAUUUGCUAUUUAUUUACUAUCGGUCUUGAGGUAGGGCAAACACAUUGUGACUUUGGGCCUCAAAAAAUUAGGACUAAAAGUUUGAAUUUUAGGUAGAAGUAUAGCCGUAUAGGUCAAAUCUAAGAGAAGAUAACAUGAACCAAAUUAAAUAGAUAAGUGGCUAUUUUAUAGGUUUGUUAUAAAAAUGAUUAUUGACUAUUUUUUGUUUUAUUGAUGUUAUAUAUAAAUUAAUUAGAUAAUUAUUCAUCGUAAAUUUUGUGUAUUUUUAUAUAUUAGGAAUUUAUUUUUAUUAUUCAAUAUAAGCUUUUGAAUUAUCGUGACCGGCUAUGUAUUUAUUCUAUAUUUGUGUCAAAUAUGUAGUACAUUUUAUCUUUUAUAUAUUGACUCAAAUCUUAAAGAUUAGGCCGGACUACCUGUUUUUUCCUAGAUUUGAAUCCUCAUCAAUUUUUCUCUCAAAUUUGUCAUACCGUAGUAAUUUUAACUAUUCAUUCACUUUGUGUUUUUUUAUUCUUUAUAAUUUAUCAACCAUUAAAUUAAGCAAAAAAUAAUAUAAGAAGAAUAAAAAUUGGAGAUGAUCCAAAUCCAUUUUUUGGGCGAAAGAGUAUAAUUUAUUAUUAAUCUCAUAUAACACAUGUUUCUCCGAUUUUCUCUAUAAAAUAUCUCUAAUUCUCAGAAAAAUGUGGUCAUAGUAAUUUAAAGUUUUACCACGAAUUAAGUAAAAUUUAGUCAAAAAUUAUUUUUAUUAAGGAAAGGGGAUUUGUGGUAUUCAGAGUUCGGUGCAAGCUAAUUAAUAAAGUCUAGCUAAAAUAAUACUCCUAUGUGUUCAAUAAAAUAAUACUCCUAUGAUACUAGUUAAUCAUAUCAAUAAAAUAGAAAAAUCUUGAAAUUUAUAAAUAUCUUAAAAACGUAAAAAGUUAUCUCCACAACAUUUUUUUUUAAAUUUUUUUUAUUGUAUGUUUAACAAAUGU